AACUGAAUGACAUGGGUGUCAGCAGAACAUGCUGUGGCUUCACAACAAUGAAGUGAUAAUGUGAACAUUCUCCAAUGACACAUGCUUUUGCUGCUGCAAUUAUACAAGCGCAAACAACUGUUGCACUUGGAUGUGCCCAGGACCUACAGUCUUCCUCUUUGUGCAUGAUAUGUGGGAGCUCAGGCAUGGAGAAAAAUAUCAGAAAAUCAAAGUUCUGAUGGGCUUUGAGAGGGCCAGGUUAAUAUACUUUUAGUUUUACUUCUGUUAAGAUUAGGUUAAAAGUUCCAUAUUAUCAUCAUCUUUAAGUGCUAAUUAUUUACAAGAUUUCAAUGAAGAAUUCUAACAGAAGAAUCCAUAUUUAAGAUCUGCAGUAGACUGAAUUAAAGGCCUAAAUUCUUCAUCUUUUCCUGUAUCCAUGCCAUUUGCCACCUAACUUUUCAGUUUCUCCCUCUAAAGCAGGGUUUCUUAGUCUCAGCACUAUUGACAUUGGGGCUGGAUAAUUCUUUAAUGUGGAGAGCUGUACUGGGCAUUGUAGGAUGUUUAACUGCAUCCAUGGCUUCUGCCUAAUGGAUAUCAGUAUAUUACUCACCACCUGCGAUUGUGACAACCAAAAAUGCCUCUAGACAUUGCCAAUAUCCUCCCGUGGGGGACAGAAUCUCCUCUAGCUGGGAACUACCACUCUAAAGAUGGGUAGUUCUCACACUGACUUCGGACUCAAGCAAUGUAACUUUCUGUGUCAAAGAAAAACUUGAAAUAUGUUUGUGUAGUGAAGCUUGCUCUCUUGUGCCUCUUAUAUCACCAUGAGCAGAAUGUCUCCAGGGAAGCUGCUCUGUCUUCAUUCUGAGCCCUAGAAUGAAGCAUCUGGGGCACAGCCACCUUGGCUGAUUCAAGAAGUGUGUAUCUGAAGAAGUAUGAUCCAAAGAAGUAGGACCACCCCAGCUACCAAGUCCUGAAGUAGAGUUGUUUCAUCCAACUUCAGACAUGUGAGAAAUAGAUGGACAUUGUAUGCCACUGAGAUUUUGUGGUUGUUUGUUAUGCGGCAAAAGCUGACUGAUACAGACCACUUAGCCAAAGUAAAGUAUAUUCAACUCUUAGUUAUAUUUAUUGGAUUUUUUAGUUGCUUACUAUGUCUUGAGACUCUCCCUCACUCCUGUUUCCUUCCCUGAUUGUAGCUAAUCCUCUCUGUCAAGGAUGCUUCUGCUUCAAACUAAUCCUUCCAGCUCUCUUUUGAGAGAUACCUGCAACCACUUGACCACCUACUUGAUGUGAAUUUAGGCAAUGAACUUGGAUUGUUUGUCCUUUUAGUAUUGAAUUUUAUAGGGAUUCUUUAUACGUUCUGGAUACAAAUCCUUUGUCAGAUAUAUAAAUUGCAAAUAUUUUCCCCAAUCUGUUGCAUUUUUUCAGUUUAAUAGCAUCUUCUGAUGAGCAAAAAGUAAAAGUAAUUUUGAUGAACCUAAUCUAUCUUUUUUUGUCUUUUCUGGUUAGAGCAUUUUUUGUUCUAAAAAAGCUUUGCCUAGAUUGCAAAGAUAUUCUCCUCUCUUUUCUUGUUUAUAGUUGUAGCUUUAGUGUUUAGCUUCUAUAGAUUAACUUCAUAGUCUUAGCUUUUGUAUUAGGGCUAUGAGCUACCUUGAAUUAAUUUUUGUGAAUGGUGUGUGUUGUGGGUCAAGAUUAAUUUUCAUUCAUGUAAAUACCCAGUUUUAGUAAAUUUUAAUAUAAUAUCUUAUGUUAUUGAAAAAAGCAGGAUGUAAAAUAUAUACUGUAGGGUCAGAACCAUUUUUAAUCUUAUUUAAAGAAAUAGGAAAUAAAUGCAAUCAGAUUAAUAGACGUUGUCAUUGGUAGGACUUCGGGUGAGUUUUUUCUUCUUCCUACUUUUCUGUAUUUUCCAGUUUUCUAUUCUAAAGUUAUAUUAAUGUAAUAAUUUGGAGAAAAGCUCUAGUUUUCUUUUCUUUUCUUUUUUUUGAGACAGAGUUUUGCUCUUGUCACCCAGGCUGCAGUGCAAUGGCACAAUCUCGGCUCACUGCAACUUCUGCCUCCCAAAUUCAAGGAAUUCUCCUGCCUCAGCCUCCUGAGUAACUAGAAUUACAGGUGUGCACCACCACGUCUGGCUAAUUUUUGUAUUUGUAGUAGAGAUGGGGUUUCACCAUAUUGGUCAGGCUGGCCUUGAACUCCUGACCUCAGGUGAUCCACUCACCUCAGCCUCCCAAAGUGCUGGGAUUACAGGCGUGAGCCACCAUGCCUGGCCGAAAUUGCAAGAACCUUUAAGGUGAUCCCCCACAAACUGGAGCUAGGAUUAAGGUGGUUCCUCAGGCCUUUGUUCUGCCUACAAUGUUCAUGAGAGUUGCUUUCUAGGUUUGAUUGCUGCUCAAACAUUCAAAAUCUGAAAUAGCAAAGAAAGAAAAAAGAGGAAAUCUAUUCCAAAGCAGCUACUGUAACUGAAAGUUGAAUGCAUGCUGAGAAACAGUAUUAUAAUUUGAUAUAAUUUGAUAUUUCAGCCUUAUUUAUUCUGAAUUCCUAAAGCUUUGUAGGUAUCCAAUGCAUUAUGAAAAAAUAUUAUUUACCUAGAAGCCUAGGGUGCCAAAGGGUAUACCUUCUGUGUUUUAUUUGGCCUGUGGACAGGGGAAAUAUUACAUAAUUCUGUAACUAAGGCCAUCUCUCUGCAACUUCUCCAUAGCAUUCUGUGUCCUUGACCUUUACAUAGUGGGCUGUACUGUCCCUGUCACAAUGCUUGUGCAUUAUUCUUCUCUCAACCAGACCUCCUUAUUUACUCCUAAGUAGCUAACUCUUAUAUUAAUAUACUGUCUCUAAACCCCAUUCACUCCACCCAGACCUUUGCCCCUUCCUUUCCUCCUAGACCACAUGGUUAGUUAUUUCUAGUAGAUUUGUUCUAUUACCACAACUACCUUUCCUCCUAUAGUUUCCUCCUUGACAGUGCUAGCUUCCAGAAAACAUUUUGCUACACAGCCUUGUAACAUUGUCACCUGUCAUAUUACAACUGAUAUGGGAGUGCUGAGAAGCGAAGAGCAUCGUCCCUUUAAAUGACACGGAAGCGGAAGCGGGGAAGGGAAGUGCUGGGUAGAGUAGGGCGUGGUCCCUGGCUAGGGAUCCACCCCCAAGGACCUAGCGAAGGACAGGCACUCCUGCCUUGGAGCCUAAAUGUUGCAUUUCCCAAGACCACCCUGGCCUGCCAUGCCCCAUUCUGUGCCUAUAAAAACUUGAGACCCUAGCAGGCACACACACACAAGUGGCUGGACAGAAGAAGACACAAAUAGCUGGUCAUGGAGAGCACGCCGCAGAAGAGCAUGCUGACAGGCACCAGCAGGCCAUCAACCAGCAGAAGACGAAGUUUGGCCAGAGCGGUUGGAAAAGGGUCCAGCGGC
rnacentral:lncRNA from 1 species